UAGCUCUGGUUCCACUUCAAAGUCGAAUAAAUCUUUCGACUUUUACUAAAGAUUUCCGUGGAGUGGAACACAUGAUGAGUCUAAUCUGAAUUUUUUUGAAAAUUAUAUUUAUUUGAUAUU